GAAGGUGGGGCUAAUGACUGGGGUGAAGUCGUAACAAGGUAGCCGUACCGGAAGGUGCGGCUGGAUCACCUCCUAACAGGGAGACAACAAAAUGUUUAAUAUUAUUAUUUUGUCACCUUAGGUCGAUCGGUAUCUCACGUUUUUAAUUUAUUAAGAAUUUCAUUUCCUAAGUUUUUCUAGGUCACACCCAUUAUUUUUCCUGGGCCAUUAGCUCAGGUGGUUAGAGCGCACCCCUGAUAAGGGUGAGGUCCCUGGUUCAAGUCCAGGAUGGCCCAUAUCUCUAUGUUGGGGGUAUAGCUCAGUUGGUAGAGCGCCUGCUUUGCAAGCAGGAUGUCAGCGGUUCGAGUCCGCUUACCUCCACUGAUUACCACCUCUUCCAUAACCGGUAGAAAGGAAAUGUUUUGAGUUGUGAUCAAAUUCUGAAAGAAUCUAGCUUCCUAAUGAAAUCAUUAAGAUGCUGGACUCAUUGAAUUAAUUUCAUUGUUUUCAGAGAACCUUGACAACUGCAUAGAUUAUUUUUAAAGACAAUAAGCAUCUUUAAUGAUGCAGAUUUAUUAUUUGUGCGAAUGCAUUAAAUAACAAUUCUAUUAAGCUGAUGCUUCAAUUUUUGAAGUUAUUGGUCAAGCUACAAAGGGCUCACGGAGGAUACCUAGGCACACAGAGGCGAUGAG
rnacentral:misc_RNA from 1 species